UACGAAGGUGGCAAGCGUUGUUCGGAUUUACUGGGCGUACAGGGAGCGUAGGCGGUUGGGUAAGCCCUCCGUGAAAUCUCCGGGCCUAACCCGGAAAGUGCGGAGGGGACUGCUCGGCUAGAGGAUGGGAGAGGAGCGCGGAAUUCCCGGUGUAGCGGUGAAAUGCGUAGAGAUCGGGAGGAAGGCCGGUGGCGAAGGUGGCGCUCUGGAACAUUUCUGACGCUGAGGCUCGAAAGCGUGGGGAGCAAACAGG
rnacentral:rRNA from 1 species